CCUAGGAAGGCAUAAGGAAAAUGUCAGGGGGGGGAAAAAAAACUAGAUGGGCAAGACCUGAAAUAAGUGUAAGCCUACAGUGCUAGGUCAUUGUACUGUGAUUAAAAUGAGGACAGAAGGGGUAUUCUGGAGAAAAGCAGGAGGUUAGAGCAGAGGAACAUGAUAUCAGUGCAGUUUUUGUGAAAGAACUUCCAGUUGUCAUAGAAAUGCAAAAAUUGUGUUGCAUGUGACUGACAAUUGUCACCUUUUGUUUUCCAGAUUUGGCACAGAGGAACAGUUUUAUCUUCACUCUGUGCAGCAUUCAGUAACUGUCCUGGUCUGUGAUCCCAGUGGGCUGUUGACCAACACACAGUAUUCUUGCAAUCCAAAUGCAGCACUGAACCAAGUCUUCCUUUAAAUAAUCCUGCUUCCAGCUGGUUACAUUGUUCACCCAAAUCUGUGUUGUGCAUUAUUCCAGGGAAGGGAAGAGAUCCGAUAGUACAGCCUGCCUCACUGCUCCAGACGGUAACUGGUCCUUGGCAUUGCAGAGUAAACGUGUGGGAUACAGGACUCUACUCAGCUUGGAACCCUUGGAACUGCAGCCCAACAGAAAACUCCCAUCUCAGAUUUGGCCAGGAUGACUUCAAGUCCUUGAAAGCAGGUGCAAGGAAUGCUUUCCAGCAGCCCUACUCAAUUCCUCUCAGGAGGGGCAUGCUUGGUGCACCCAUCACAGCCCCUGGAUCCUCAGUGGACAUGGCCAGGCCCUCAAUAUGCAUUCAGAGGCAUUUGUCUGAGUUUGCACAGUUGAAUGGUGUGGAGGACAGAGCCAUGGUGGGGAAAAGAAUGAAGAACAAUUAGAAGAUGUGAUAUCCAGGGAGCAGCAUGGGAAAUUCAGCCAGAGCUGAAGGUAAGAAGUGGAGGCAGGAAUUCAGGAAUUCCUCUGAGUCUGCAGCAUGGGAGGAGAUUGUUUUGCUUUAUAUGAACUAUGAGUGCACUUUUG
rnacentral:lncRNA from 1 species